GAUGAACGCUAGCGGCAGGCCUAACACAUGCAAGUCGAGGGGUAGAAGUUGCUUGCAACUUUGAGACCGGCGCACGGGUGCGUAACGCGUAUGCAAUCUGCCUUGUACUGAGGGAUAGCCCAGAGAAAUUUGGAUUAAUACCUCAUAGUAUUAUGGUGUGGCAUCACAUUAUAAUUAAAGUUCCAACGGUACAAGAUGAGCAUGCGUCCCAUUAGUUAGUUGGUAAGGUAACGGCUUACCAAGACGAUGAUGGGUAGGGGUCCUGAGAGGGAGAGCCCCGACACUGGUACUGAGACACGGACCAGACUCGUACGGGAGGCAGCAGUGAGGAAUAUUGGUCAAUGGGCGCAAGCCUGAACCAGCCAUGCCGCGUGCAGGAUGACGGUCCUAUGGAUUGUAAACUGCUUUUAUACGGGAAGAAACACUCCUACGUGUAGGAACUUGACGGUACCGUAAGAAUAAGGAUCGGCUAACUCCGUGCCAGCAGCCGCGGUAAUAC
rnacentral:rRNA from 1 species